GUGCCUACUUCAGCAGCACAUAUACUAAAGUUGGAAUAAUACAGAGAAGAUUAGCAUGGCCAGGGUGACACCCAAAUUUGUGAAGUGUGCCAUAGUUUG
ensembl:snRNA U6 U6 spliceosomal RNA